UACGUAGGGAGCGAGCGUUGUCCGGAAUUACUGGGCGUAAAGGGCGCGUAGGCGGGAACUUAAGUUAGAUGUGAGAACUCCGGGCUUAACCUGGAGACUGCAUUUAAAACUGGGUUUCUUGAGGGCAGGAGAGGAAAGUGGAAUUCCUAGUGUAGCGGUGAAAUGCGUAGAUAUUAGGAGGAACACCAGUGGCGAAGGCGACUUUCUGGACUGUACCUGACGCUGAGGCGCGAAAGCAUGGGGAGCGAACAGG
rnacentral:rRNA from 1 species